AGUGAACGCUGGCGGUAGGCCUAACACAUGCAAGUCGAACGGCAGCACAGUAAGAGCCUGCUCUUACGGGUGGCGAGUGGCGGACGGGUGAGGAAUACAUCGGAAUCUACUUUUUCGUGGGGGAUAACGUAUGGAAACUUACGCUAAUACCGCAUACGACCUACGGGUGAAAGCAGGGGAUCUUCGGACCUUGCGCGAUUGAAUGAGCCGAUGUCGGAUUAGCUAGUUGGCGGGGUAAAGGCCCACCAAGGCGACGAUCCGUAGCUGGUCUGAGAGGAUGAUCAGCCACACUGGAACUGAGACACGGUCCAGACUCCUAAGGGAGGCAGCAGUGGGGAAUAUUGGACAAUGGGCGCAAGCCUGAUCCAGCCAUACCGCGUGGGUGAAGAAGGCCUUCGGGUUGUAAAGACCUUUUGUUGGGAAAGAAAAGCAGCAGAUUAGGACCACGCUGUUCUGACGGUACCCAAAGAAUAAGCACCGGCUAACUUCGUG
rnacentral:rRNA from 1 species